rnacentral:lncRNA from 1 species
UAUUUCCCUAAAGUUUGAAUGGUUUUGGGAUGUUUUUGGAGUAAAAAUGUUCAUGGAAAUUUUUGGGUUUUUUCAUGAAUGUUCUUCAUUGUUCUUGACAUUUUUGCCAAGAACAAAAAGUUUUGUGUUUGAUUCAAAGUUUUGAUUUAUUUCAUAAAGUUUAUGUUUUAUGAUUUUCAAAUGUUUAAUUGUUUUAGAUAUUUGUUUAAAUGGUGAUAGAAAUAAUGGUGGGUGUGAAAGGAUUAAUUCCCUUUCACACACACUA